rnacentral:rRNA from 1 species
CAGCAUCGCCGCGGGAAUACCAGCACCUCGAGUGGUCAGGAGGUUUAUUGGGCCUAAAGCAUCCGUAGCCGGUUGCAUAAGUUUUCGGUUAAAUCUAUGCGCUUAACGUAUAGGCCGCCGAAAAAUACUGUGCAGCUAGGGAGUGGGAGAGGUACACGGUACUCGAUAGGAAGGGGUAAAAUCCUUUGAUCUAUUGAUGACCACCUGUGGCGAAGGCGGCGUACCAGAACACGUUCGACGGUGAGGGAUGAAAGCUGGGGGAGCAAACCGGAUUAGAUACCCCAGUAGUCCCUGUCUCUUAUAC